GCACCCUGGAAUAAUGGAGGGGGCUGCUGGGCCUCUGGCCUCCCAGUGUCUCUUCCUGGGGGCUUGGGGGCAAAAGAGACCUGUAUCUUUGCUCACCUAGAACCCAUCUGUGGCACCCUGGCAGUGAAGCUCUGGAGAUGGCCAGUUUGGGGCCACCUCACCUGUGGUGUCCUCUAGCUAUCCUGAAAACAUGGUCUCCCAGAAUCCUCAUCCUCACUGAACUUGGCACCUCGGGAUUCAUAGUUGACUUCUGGUCAUCCACCAUACCCCGAAACUAGAUUACAACUCCCCUGAAGACAGACAGCUAAAGCAAGAGUGGACAGACUUAAAAACAGUGUUGUGCUUAUCCAUCUACCACAGGAGGACAAAUCUUGUGGUUUGCCCUGCUUGCCUUGCUCAAAUUAAAACAACAACAACAAGGAAUUUGGAUGAGGACGUGCUUUCCUACAGCUGGGGCAACCAGGAAGUCUUUGCAGGGAAAAACACUUGAACUCAGCCUCAGGGACCAGGGAAGACCUCAGGAGAUGAAAAGGGGGGAAUUAGACUACAGUUGGGGAAUACGGGGAGAGCAAAAUCUCUGAGAACCCCAAGCAAAAUAUGAAACCUGAAGUAUAAAUGUCUGUGUGAUAAUCCAGGACUCUUAACCUACGUGGUUGAACCACACUAAGAUUCACCUGACCAGUUUGCGGGUCAAGUCAGGAACUACAGAGAUUUCUGUCUGUGUGCAAAGUGUACAUGGAUGAUGUGUCUCACCCCCUUGCUGAGUGCAGCAGCUUGCUCUUUCUGGCAGGCUGUUCCGUCCUCCUCUGGAACAAGGUGCCUUUGGACCCCAGGCCUGGGCCAGGACCCCAGUGAGGGCAGAAUCUUCACAUCUGAUCCUGCACAGGGAGUAAUAGUCACGGUGGCUCAGAUCAGAGUUUCAAGAGCAACUUAGAAGGAAGCAAACAGUCAUCAGGUUGGAGGCCCGCCCCAAGCACCUGCCAGUCGCAUCUCUGUUUCUGCAUAAGGCCUAAGCAGCUGGACACGGGGGCACUUGUGCAGGAGAGAAGGGAGAACGUGCUGAACAAGUUAAGUGCCCCUUGUCUCCCCCGCCCCCCAGCACGUCGCGCAGGCUGAGCUGGUGACCCGGGCAGGAUCCGAGCCAAGGAUUAAUCCAUCACAAUGAGACGUUCUAUUUUGGGCCAGCAGCUCGAGCAGAUGCCUGCACAUCGCAGAGGCCGGGCACCCAGGGAGGCAGCCGCACAGGCUUACUGGCACCCACCGCUCCACUUGCUGCCUAAAGCCGAGAGAGAAACUGGACAGCGACAGGCGGUUCCCUGCUGACGCCCGAGGAGUAUCAAAGUUAGACUUGCAGAUGCCCAUGGAAUCUCUUAGGUGGGCCCUUCUGAGAAACCCAAUUUUCUUACCUAGACUGUGUUUAGAAUCUGCCCGGCCGUCUGGGUUACGCCCUUUCCCCUGCGCACCCACACCGUGCCCUUCACCUCUCACCCACCCUCUCCGGCCUCGGGGCUCCUGCACGUCCACACCCAUGGCAGUGGGGUUUUCUCCAAAGUGCGCAUUCCGCCCUGCCCCAGACCACACUCCAGGCUGGGAUGAGGGCUGGUGUGUGUCACCACCCAGCCUCUGCAUGAUGAAAAGGAAACCAACUCACUGAGGCUGCCCCACAGCUCAGGGCGGGUCAGUGCCCGCAAGGCCUUAGGUUUUCCCAGGAAGCUACACUCCAGCUCCCCGGAGAGAUUAUGCCCUGCGGCCUCCUCCCUCCCACAACCUUUGGCCAUUUGAUCUCCAGUCUACAUUGAGCUGGACAGGGCAGCCGAGAGAUUCCUUCAGGGGUUGCUUUCCAAAGAUAUGACAGGGAGGAGAGGGAAAAAGAAAAAAGAUAAAACAGCAGUUGAAUACUUGAAGCCCAAUUGUGAAUGGAAAUUGCAUUUUAAGUCAA